rnacentral:lncRNA from 1 species
GCUGUCUGCGCUGGGCACGGAGCGGCGCGCGCGCGCCCGUCUUUCCCUCGGCGGCCCCCGCGGCUCGGACCCGGGCCGGCAGACAGGCCAUCCAUCAUCCGCCCUCCUCCCGCGGAGCGCCGCAGCCGCCGCGGCCAAUCCGGCGGCAGGUGGGGCCGCACCUGCGCGACAGCCCGCCGCUUCCCUCCGCUCCCUUCGCCGCGCCUCGCGUGCUAGCGGUGCCCUUGUGAGCCACUGCGUUCUCCAAGGCCAGAACGGGACAGUUGACGAUGGUCGUACUUCUCCAUGUUCUGAGACCAGUUUAAACAAAAACAAAAACCAGACAACAACCUUGCAAGGGAAAGAAUUCAGAGUAAAUAAACAGUCUUUUUCUGGGAAGUAAAAUAUUUCCCUAAGAUGGAGAAAUUGAGAUGAGAGCUCAUCCACAAGAUUACCCAUCAAUGAGCACCAAUAGCAACCAAAUCCACUAGAAGACUGGGAGCUUUUAAGUCAAGAAACUUACAUCAGUAUCAUCAUUCCAAGAAGCGGUAUCCAAGCUGUUUUAUCGAAAGUGCGCAUGGGAGAUAAGACUCUGAGAAUUUAUAGAAACAAACAUUAGAAGGCAGGAAUGUGGAGAGAAGAAAGCUACCUGACAAGGGAAUCUCAGGAUACAAGGAAAACACCAAGAAGACACCUGCCUGAGGGUCUUAUAGCUAAUGGACUGCAGAAGACUUGAGUCAUCAUUCAAAUUCAGUAGCCAUCCUCUGAUGUCCAGUUGAAGAUUGGUGAUUCCAGAAUAGCUCGCAUUGCCCCAGUUGACUUGCCACACAGCUUCUUUCAGGACUUGAAAAUGUCCUAGCCACCCCCAUCUUACCUCCUACUUCCAAUGCCUUUUAAGAUAGAAAACAAAAAACAAAACAACAAAAAAACACCAGCCACCCUUGUGGGUUAGAUAAUCCUACAUCAAGGUGAAUUCUUGAUAACCAGUUCUGUUCUUCCUUAUGUCUUGUAAACAUGCUAAUUAGAAGGAGCUUGUGUUUGAAGAUCAAGGGAGGAAGAAUUCUGAAGCCAGGGCUAGCCUUAGGGGACAUAACUCCUUCCAGUCACUUCCUGAAUUUUUUGGUACCUGGCUUUUGAGAGUCCUCCAAAGUGAGAAUUUCAUGACAUGUAACCUCUCAACACCUGCAUUUUAAAAAAUUGUCCAAAAUACCGCAGAUACCACAGAAAAGUCCAAAACUUAAGUUUUUCCCUCCACUCAGAGCAUCUUAGCAACAUACUAACCAUAAGACUCUAAGCGCUCUUACCCUCAAUGCAAUUCUCACUGAAUAUCCUGUCAGGAGAACUCUACCUCUCUUCCAUGUUAUUAAGGUUAUUGUUCUUUGCAAGGUGUACACAACACAAAUAUAUUUCUUGGUGAAUGAACUCACUCUCAAAGACUGCUGUCCUUGGGGAUAUAGCCAACAUGCCAUAUCCACAACAUAGGUCUUCUUUACAGUCCUGUUGAAACAUGUAAGAUCAGCUACUAAGUCCCUGCAUCUCAGACAGGAACUUAAUAGAGUACAUUUAAAAAAAAAAUUCAGAAGUAAUUAAAACAAAUUGCAUACAAGCCACCUGUUUAGAAAGUUCAUAAAUUUUAUGCAAUUAUUUAUCUCUUUAUUUUUUCUGAAAUCAAGAGCAGAAUGUAUCCAAGUGAAACUAAAAGAGCGAGGUCAAGGGGAAACAACACAGGGCUUGUGGAGUCAUAAAUAUGUAUUAAAGCAGCAGAGUUAAUUUUGUCCCAAGUUCCAUAUUGGCCAGGAAAAAAGAAACAAGAUCAGCAGAGUUAACAGCUCUCAACCUGAAUAUGCCUCAGAAUUUCUAGGAGGACUUAAGUAAUGAGAUUCCUGGGUUUCUACAUGGACCAACUCAAUCAAACUCUUCAGGAGACAGCUGCUGUUGUUAGACUGUGUCUCCCAAAAUUCUUGUGUUGGAAACUUAGUUCCCAAUGUAAUGAUACUGGCAGGUGUGGCCUAGUGGGGGGUGUUUAGAUCAUGAGGGCUUCAGCCUCAUGAAUGGAUUAAUGUUGAUAUCUCAGGAGUGAGUUUCCUCUUGCUCUCUGUAGCCCUCUCUCUUGCCACAUGAUGACUUCCACCAGGUUAUGACUCAACAGGAAGGCCCUCACAAGAUGUGGAACCUCAAUCUUAGACUUCUCAGCCUCCAGAAGUGAGCCAAAUAAAUUUCUG